UCUUCCAGUACCCCUGCUUCUCAUAGUAAAAGCAUUCCAUUUGAGUCUGAUCGGAUUUGGAUUUCUUGGUCUAACUAGGCUUGGGUGCCUCAGCACUUUGCACCCUUUUCUUGUUCCUCUUCCUUUUCUUAAAAGAUUGAUGUCUAGAAGAAGACCCUCCCACAACAUUCACUGACUUCUUGUAGAGCUGGUGAUCUUUCUCAAAGUUCUGCAGCAACCCUAGCAAAUCGUGGUAGUUGAUCACAGACUUUAUCAUUCAAAAAUGAGUAAAAAAAUGGAGGUAGGAUUUGGACAGAGAGUUCAAAAUGGCAUCUUUCCCCAGUUGCUCAUGCAGAAGAAAGCCGAGCUUGCUUAAGUACUCAAUCAUCUCGAUCAUGUACAAUAUAUGAUCGGUGAUUGACGCUGCUUUCCUCAUUUGAGCAUUGAAGAUGGCACAGCUAGUUUUGUAUCUCUUAACAUCAUCGGGUGUGCCAAAAGACUCAUUCAAUAUUUACAAUAUGUCCUAUGGCUAAGCAUUCUCAAAAUGACGACUGAACUCAUCAUUUAUUGCCACCAGUAUAAUACAACGAACCAUAGUUUGAUCAUUGAGCCACUUCUGAUAAGUAUCUCUGACCGUACUACGUACGUUCGGAGCUGGCUCUUUGGGUGUCGGAUCUAUCAACACAUACAAGACCGUUCAUGCUCUAGGACUAUUUUGAGCUUUCGAUACCAGC
rnacentral:lncRNA from 1 species